rnacentral:lncRNA from 1 species
ACAUUCCUCUUCAUUUGCAUCACAUGCUGGUUAAUUUGAGCCCUCUCUUUCCUUAGGAAGGACACUGGAUUGCUGACUCCAUGAAUGCUGACAUAUUUCCUACAUCCUGCUUCAUGAGGAGUAAUAAAGCCAGUGCUGUUGCAAGUGCCUCACUGAAACAAAACAAGAGCUAAGGAAAAAUGCCCAAUGGGGUCCCGAUUCAUUGACAUGUGAUACGUCCUUUAACUGAUGAGAAGGAAAAUCAAAAUGGGACUUUUCAAAAGCAGAGUUAUCUGUGCAUUUUGUCACCAGGACUGCUUUCAAAUUAGUUCCUGCAGUAAAAAUGCAGCUCUACAUCUUGAUUCUAAACAUGCUGCAAUUACAUUCAGCAAACACAAGGUUAAGCCAAGCUCUUCAGGGGACUACACCUCUAAGAAAGACAACUAGACUAUCGCCCCCAGAGGCUUAAGCACAACCAACCAUUUGGUGAGCUUUACUUCUUAUUUGCUGAAACUAAUUACAGAAUUUGAAAUAAAUGCAGUAGUCACCUAGUCCUUGCAAGUAAAAGUUAUCCUGAUAAAUGCUUUACUAAAAUGUCCAUUCUCUGGCUACCCUCCUAUCUGACAUUUGACUGAGCCCUGACAGUUAACUGGUGUGCAAAGCACAUUUCUAUUGAGAGGCCAUUCCUAAAACACUAAAAUCCUAAAAACAGAAAUUCAAGAAAGCUGCCACCAGAUAUCUCUGGCAACAACCAUCUCUGUUUCCUUUGUUUCUAUUACAUUUGCCUAAGUAUUUAGAUUUGAGACCCCAGAGUCUUUUUGUCUACUUCCUCACCCCAACCUUUACAUUUAGUUAGUCAUUGAGUCCUUAUUAAAUCUAUAAUGAUUUACAAUUACUAUUGCCUGUACAGCAAUGACUGAAUGUACCUCAUACUUUCAACUAUCACUGCAAUCAACUGGUUCCAGGAUCUCAUCAAGCUACUAAUCAAAACUUCAGAUACUGGGAGUUCCCGUGGUGGCACAGCAGAAGUGAAUCCAACUAGGAACCAUGAGGUUGUGGGUUUGAUCCCUGGCCUCGUUCAGUGGGUUAAGGAUCUCGCCAUGAGCUGUGGUGUAGGUCGCAGAUGCAGCUCAGAUCUGGCAUUGCUGUAGCUCUGGUGUAGGUGGGCCAGCAGCAACAGCUCUGAUUAGACCCUUCACCUGGGAACCUCCAUAAGCCACAGGCGUGGCCUUAUAAAGACAAAAAGACCAAAAACAAAACAAAAAAAAAAAAAACGCAAAACUUCAGAUACUGAAAUAACUCCAUAGUGCCACAAGAUUGAGUUUGCCAAAUAACACUUUCUCAUUAAUAAUGGCUCUCUCUUGUCUUAAAGGCUUACCACAGUUUGGCCCUAAUAUCCCUUUUCUACAUUAAUGUCUUACCACUCCCAUGUUUCUCUUGCAUCUCAACUUUUCCUCCAUGAACAAGAUAAUUAUUUGUUAAUUACUUGUCUUUUUUAGCCUCCACAUUUGCACAGUGAAUAUAAAAUUGAGAUUCUCCAAGUGGAAAUACACCUAGAAUUCCUUUUCCAUUCUUUCUCAUCUUUUAUAAAUCAUUAUUUUUACACAACUAUAUUAUGUUUUAUUUCCUCUAUAAAUUUUUGGAGACUUUAUUUAUUAUCUGAAGUUUAGGUUUAUAACAAAAAUGAGAGGGAGACAGAUUUCUUAUAUAUUCCUUGCCCCCACAGAUGCAUAACUUCUCCUAUUAUCAACAUCAUUCACAGAAUGACAUAUUUUUUUUCAAGGAUGAACCUAUAUCAACUCAUCAAAAUCUCCCAAAGUCCAUAAUUUACUUAGGGUUCACUCUUGGUGUUUCGUAUUCCAUGGGUUUGGACAAAAAUAUAAUGACAUAAUUACAAAAUACCCCUCACCUACCCCAGCAACCACUGAUCUCUUUAUUAUCUCCAAAGCUUUGCCUUUUCAAAAAUGUCAUAUAGUUGGAAUUACACAGCCAUCUCACAGUUCUUGGCUAUUCUGUUUUUUUGCUGUUGUUUUUUGUUUUUUUUCCUUGUUUUUUUUUUGUUUGUUUGUUUGUUUGUUUUUUCCCCUAGUCUUUGUUCUUGCUUUUCAGUUUUUGAGGAUUCUAUUGAUGUAUCCUCUAACUCAGAGAUUGUUUCCUCAACCAUGCCCAGUCUAAUAAUAAGAUCAUCAAAGGCAUUCUUCAGUUCUGUUACACUGUUUGUUUGUUGGUUUGUUUGAUCUCUAGCAUUUCUUUUUGGUCCUUUCUUAAGAUUGCCAUCCCUCUGCUUACUUUGACCAUCUGUUCUUACAUGCUAUCUGUUUUAUCUACUAGAGCACUUAGCAUAUUAAUCAUAGCUGUUUUAAAUUCCCAGUCUGGUAAUACAAACAUCCCUGCUAUGUCUCCUUCUGUCUCUUCAGAACAUGAUUUUUACAUGCUUUAUAAUUGUUUUCUUGGUAUUCAGAGGGCGUGUUAGGUAAAAGGAGGGGGUUAGAUAGGCCUUUAGUAAUAUAGUGAGGAGACAGAAAGUGUUCUAUAGUCCUAUGAUUAGAUCUUAGUUUUAGUGAGCCUGUGUUACUGAACUCUGAACACCACAAGUGUUUCUGUUUUUAUCUCCCCCUUUUAGUGGGAUGGGAUGUCUAGAGUGGGCUAGAGUUGGGUAUUUACCUUCCAUAGGUCAGUUAGGUUCCAAUGAUUACCUAGCAGGUUAGACUCUAGUCAACUAACUUCCACUAAGAGAACUUGUUAAGAAGAAUGGUGCAUUUCAAAAUGGUUCUACUUCCUGCCCCUGCUAGAAGUCUAAGGGGAUUUUUCUCCCCUAUUUAAAAUGGACAUUGGAUUGAGCUUCUGGAGGUAAAUCUCACAGCAUUGUAUGAGCUCCUCUAUGACUGGGUGCCUCUGAAGAGUUGAUUUUUCACUCUCUUCAGUGUUUUACUUGUUGUUAGCACAGAGUGGUAACUUCCAAGUUCCUUAUUUGUGGAGCAGGAAAACAUGUUUAUGAAUCUUUUUAUGACACCUGCCCCAUAGACAUAUAAAUACAUACUAUUCUACCAUCCAUUAUUUAUCUUACAGUUUCUUGUACAUAUACCAGGCAGGGUGCUAGGUGCUGGCGAUAUAAAGAAGGAUGAGAUGCAGUGCUUGCCCUUACAGGGAUUAGAGUCCAUUCUGGGAAUGCCUGUGACAUUUACUAUCUGCACCACUCUUUUAGCAUUUAUAAGGUUUGAGCUAGGAACCGCUAACUUAUAGCUCUAUAUAUCUUUGUAAAAUACAAUGCAACAAAUUACAAAAAAAUUGGCAGUCAAUAAAGACUUUGUCAAUAAGUGAAUACUUAUUUAUUUAUUAUAAAGUCUAAAUACUAAAGUUGAUAAAUUUGUCACAAAUGUUUUUAGUAGAGCUUUCCUCAUUCCAUCUGCCACCUGCACUGAGUGAGCCUGGGUCUCUCCAGGGUCCCUAACUACAGUGGCUCUUUCAAGAGCCAUCUUCUGCCAAAAAUCAAUCCAGUUCUAAAAUUUAAAAUAGGUCCUGAAAAAUCACUACACUCCAUCACUUAGAAAAUAAGAAUAAUAACACCUAGACAUAGGGUUACAGUAAGGAGUGGCAGAUGGAAUUAGGCAUAAAAUUAGCACAGUGCCUUGUACUUAUCUCAAGAAAUUGUAUGUGUCAGGUAUUAAUUAGCCCAUGCCAACCUAAAAGGUAAUUCUAAGGAUGCCUAUAAAUACUAUAUUUCUUAUUAUAAAAAAAUAGAGUUUCAGUAUAAGAAAAUUCACUGUGAGAAAACCACUUAACUCAACUUACCUGCUCAGUGACAAAAAUCAUCUGAACAUUUAUGCUAUACAAUAUCUACAUAAAGUGAUGAAAAUGCAAAGUACAUCUCACAGCCCAUCAACAAGUACAUAUGGUAUAGAAGAAAUAUGCACUAAGCAUUAUGGAGGAAACAACGGAAAAGAUUAAUUCUCCUUGUCUUGGUAAGUGGAGGGGGCAAGAAGGGAAUAUAGAUUGAAUUUAGGGAACAGGUUAAGGUUGUGGGAAUAGAGAUAACUUUACAUUUAGAAGAAGUUCUUAGAAGAUGGUGAUUUUCCAAAGGAGAAAGGCAUAAGGACAUUCCAGAGAGGGGGAAAAAAAAGGAAAAAAAAAAAGCAUAUUGACCUUAGUUUAUAAAGAGUAAAAUCAUGUUAAUGAAGGGAGUCUCAGGUAUUUUGGGCAAGCAAGAAGAUGCUUUAAGUUGUGAAGGUUAUGCUUUUGCUCUUUGCACAGCAAAGGCAUCAAACCAUCUACUAGUUUUCUGUGUAUGAGUGUAGGUUGAAACUUAAGUUUCUCAUGUUUCCAAACUAGGUAGCAUACUAUUUAUUAUUAACCAAAUCAUUUCCUGGGUGAAAGACAUGGAUUUUACAAGACACUAGGAGAGGGACUUCAAUUAGAAAAGUUAAGUAACAUAAAAAAAAAAAGUCCCAUUCAAUGAUUUAUUUUCCUGACUACAAAUGUUAUCAAGAAUAAAAUAAUUCACUCUUAUUGUUAUUCAACUUAUUUAUUCUUCUACGAACAUUUUCUGAGCAGCGGCUCUACAACAGUCCCUUUGUAAUGUCAAGAAUUCUGCAGUGAACUAGACAUGGCCCUUGCCUUCAAGGUAUUUAUUUAAUAGGAGAGUAGAUAAAAAGUAAACAAAUACUUAAAUAAUUGCUAUAAUGGAAGUGCUAUGAAGAAAUACAGGGUGCUAUGAAAUGUAAUAAUGGGAGAAAUUCAGUAGGACAUGGAGUUAGUAAAGCAUCCCUGAGGAAAUGAUUCUUAAAAGGAGAUCUAAAAUUUGAACAGAAUUGAGCCUGGAUGUGAAUAAGGACACAUGCCUAUGAGUAUUGGUGGAGUGAAAUUCUGAGCAUGAAAGAAAAGGCAGUAGAGUUAGAUCUGAAUACAUACAGGAAGUUGACUAUGAAAGAUGACAAGUUUUAAUAUCAUCAGUGAUGGCAGAAGAUAAGAUUUAUAAGAAGGACCAGAAAAUAUAGGAACAUAAGAAUUUUGACCAUUGUC